GCUGACAAUGGGCACCAGGCAUGGAGACUGCUCUUUGAUUGGUGAUAUCUUAAGCUGGAUAUAAUCUCAGGGGCAUAUCCUUGUGAAGUUCAAGUGAGGAGAAAAAAGUAAAACUGUAAAAUGGGGAAAAACAUCAAAAGGCUGGGAUAACAAAAUCUCUAAACGUGCGGAUUAAGAAUGGCAUUAACAGAAGGAUGGUGCUCUGCUGAGCACAUGAACAAGGUCAGAUGGGAAGGGUGCCGCCUUUAAAUCAUCC
rnacentral:lncRNA from 1 species